AGUGUUCACGGCGGUCCUUGAUUUUUGUUCUUAAAACCAAUUAAGGCACGCGGUGAAUGCCAA
rnacentral:pre_miRNA from 1 species